CUUUCACCAUGCGCGUUCACAGGGGAAGGACCUGCGUUCCACCGGUCAUCUGAAGUCAUUCUAAUUCUCCGGUUGGAAUGUUAUUCAAGAUAUAUGUAAACAACAUUCUAAAGAUUGAUUCAGUACAUCGUUUGACAUGUUUCUACUGACUGUUAUGGAACUUUUGGACAUUUUGUCACGUUAUAGUGGAUGCGCUUUGUGACUUUGGAAUUGUUUACCAAACGCGCUAACCAAAGUAGCUAAUUGGACAUAAAUAAUGGACAUUUUUGAACAAAUCAAGCAUUUAUUGUGGACCUGGGAUUCCUAGAGCUGCAUUCUGAUGAAGUUCAUCAAAGACCUGGAUGAACCGUUGAAGCCCCUCAGCCAAUGAAGAGACCUUCAAAGGUCCAGGGAAUGACAGAGGAGAAAAGAAACAAGGACGGGAAAAGGGGGAAGAAGUAGGAAACAGAAGGUGGAUACUGUACAUCAACAUAAGGAAAGACUAAAGUUUCGCCAUCAGGUGGAAGACUGUGUCCCCGCUCUCUGGUCAAUCUCACCGGAGGAAAGGAGAGAGCAGGGACCAUAAGAGACGGACCCUCUGCUGUUCUCUCCCUCCACUGAGACUGACCAUCACAUGCAGCUGAAGAAGACACAUAUGGGCAUUGAUUUUCGCCCAGAGCCACGUGAAUGUGCUCAAGGAGCUCUUCAGUAGAGUCAAAGAGAGAUGGAACCCCCAAAACAAGAACUUUACAGAAACAAGGUGCCAGAGUGACUCCUGCUCCUUUGACAUUUGGAAACGUCUGGAAGAAGAAGAAGAGGAAGAGUGAGAAAAUACACGGAAAAGAAAAUAAGGCAAACAAAAGAUUGCCCACUCUGAGUGUGUCCAUUGGGCCGCAACCUGUUGAAGCCCCUUUAUGUGCUCAUCCCAGCGUCCUCUGAAGUCCUGUGCAUGUAGUUCCUUUAACAAAUGGAAUUAAAAAGAAUGAUAAAGAAAAAUAAACGGCCUUG
ensembl:lncRNA